rnacentral:rRNA from 1 species
GACGUAGGAGGCGAGCGUUGUCCGGAUUCAUUGGGCGUAAAGAGCGCGCAGGCGGCUUGGUAAGUCGGAUGUGAAAACCCGAGGCUCAACCUCGGGCGUGCAUCCGAAACUGCUCGGCUAGAGGUAGGUAGGGGAGAUCGGAAUUCCUGGUGUAGCGGUGAAAUGCGCAGAUAUCAGGAGGAACACCGGUGGCGAAGGCGGAUCUCUGGGCCUUACCUGACGCUCAGGCGCGAAAGCGUGGGGAGCGAACAGG